AAAUGAAUAGACGGGGGCCCGCACAAGCAGUGGAUUAUGUGGUUUAAUUCGAAGCAACGCGAAGAACCUUACCAGGUCUUGACAUCUCCUGCAUACCAUAGAGAUAUGGGAAGUCCUUCGGGACAGGAAGACAGGUGGUGCAUGGUUGUCGUCAGCUCGUGUCGUGAGAUGUUGGGUUAAGUCCCGCAACGAGCGCAACCCUUACCAUUAGUUGCUACGCAAGAGCACUCUAAUGGGACUGCCGUGGACAACACGGAGGAAGGUGGGGAUGACGUCAAAUCAUCAUGCCCCUUAUGACCUGGGCUACACACGUAAUACAAUGGCGGCCAACAACGGGAAGCGAAGCCGCGAGGUGGAGCAAAACCCCAAAAGCCGUCUCAGUUCGGAUUGCAGGCUGCAACUCGCCUGCAUGAAGUCGGAAUUGCUAGUAAUCGCGGAUCAGCAUGCCGCGGUGAAUACGUUCCCGGGCCUUGUACACACCGCCCGU
rnacentral:rRNA from 1 species